AGUGAACGCUGGCGGUAGGCCUAACACAUGCAAGUCGAACGGCAGCACAGUAAGAGCUUGCUCUUACGGGUGGCGAGUGGCGGACGGGUGAGGAAUACAUCGGAAUCUACUUUUUCGUGGGGGAUAACGUAGGGAAACUUACGCUAAUACCGCAUACGACCUACGGGUGAAAGCAGGGGAUCUUCGGACCUUUCGCGAUUGAAUGAGCCGAUGUCGGAUUAGCUAGUUGGCGGGGUAAAGGCCCACCAAGGCGACGAUCCGUAGCUGGUCUGAGAGGAUGAUCAGCCACACUGGAACUGAGACACGGUCCAGACUCCUACGGGAGGCAGCAGUGGGGAAUAUUGGACAAAGGGCGCAAGCCUGAUCCAGCCAUACCGCGUGGGUGAAGAAGGCCUUCGGGUUGUAAAGCCCUUUUGUCGGGAAAGAAAAGCAGCAGGCUAAUACCCCGCUGUUCUGACGGUACCCAAAGAAUAAGCACCGGCUAACUUCGUG
rnacentral:rRNA from 1 species